rnacentral:tRNA from 1 species
UGGCUCAGUGGUAGAGCACUUGCCUUGCAUGCAUGAUGUCUUGGGUUCGAUUCCUCA